rnacentral:rRNA from 1 species
GGAUCCAGACUUUGAUCAUGGCUCAGGACGAACGCUGGCGGCGCGCCUAACACAUGCAAGUCGAACGAGAGAUGAGGAGCUUGCUCUUCAAAUCGAGUGGCGAACGGGUGAGUAACGCGUGAGGAACCUGCCUCAAAGAGGGGGACAACAGUUGGAAACGACUGCUAAUACCGCAUAAGCCCACGGCUCGGCAUCGAGCAGAGGGAAAAGGAGCAAUCCGCUUUGAGAUGGCCUCGCGUCCGAUUAGCUAGUUGGUGAGGUAACGGCCCACCAAGGCGACGAUCGGUAGCCGGACUGAGAGGUUGAACGGCCACAUUGGGACUGAGACACGGCCCAGACUCCUACGGGAGGCAGCAGUGGGGAAUAUUGCACAAUGGGGGAAACCCUGAUGCAGCGACGCCGCGUGGAGGAAGAAGGUCUUCGGAUUGUAAACUCCUGUUGUUGAGGAAGAUAAUGACGGUACUCAACAAGGAAGUGACGGCUAACUACGUGCCAGCAGCCGCGGUAAAACGUAGGUCACAAGCGUUGUCCGGAAUUACUGGGUGUAAAGGGAGCGCAGGCGGGAGAACAAGUUGGAAGUGAAAUCCAUGGGCUCAACCCAUGAACUGCUUUCAA